GAAAAAUGAAAAAAAAGCGGCACUCGAUCUCCUAUGUAUUGCAAGUGCGCGCACCUCCGGGCAUUGGUUAAAAGAAACAGCAGAAAGAAAAUGAAGGUUGGUCCGAAGGUAGUGUUUCUGCUGAGAGAUUCAGAGGGCUUCGGCGAAGCCAUCUCAGCUGCUUUCCGCCCAAAUCCAAGCAAUUCUACUGUAGAAGAAAGUUUUGAGCUUUCAUUGGAGCGCUAUGGAAUCCAAAAUUGCAAAGCUUCUGGAAUCCUUUGCCACUUCCUCGAUCCCCAGGGCCAAUAUGAGGUGUCUGUGUUGCUUAUGGAAUGCUAUGAACCGCCAAUACUAGCCUGUGCUAUUAAUGAAGUUCUAGCACAAUUAGCAGGGCAGAAUUCAUCCUCAGUUCCUACAGUCAUUGCCCCGUUUUUCCUAGAGUCAUCCAAGCUAAAGGGGGAAAGUAAAUCUGCAACAAAAUUUGAAAACAAAUGCUCACUUUAUGGUAUAGAGAUUGGUUCAGAAACAGCCAUAAGCAAGGCUAUGGCAACCAAAACCCAGAAGCCAUCGCCAUCCUUGCAGAUUAAUCAUGAACCUUUGGCUUGCUUUCUUCAGUUGGUCCGUGUUUUGAAGUUGCCAACAUAUGUUCUUAUCGGGCAAACAGCUCAACGCAUUUCUGGUAAAGAAGAGUUUCAGUUGGGUUUGGAGGCCAUGAUAGGAUAGUAAUUUGUAUUUCUACGAUUUGCUUGAGAGAUGAAUGGGAAAAUUAGUGUAUGCUCAGUUUCUCCAUGUUCCACUGCUGAAAAUCCUUUAUGAGAUUGGAGAAGUUUUAGCAAGCACUUUGAACCUUUCCUUUUCAAGAGACAAGAUCACAUGGAAUCCAACAAGAAAAUCAAAAGACGAUGGGGAGCCAUGGCGUGCAUUAUAUGGUUAAACCUCUACUGUCUCUGACAUCAGAGGUUGAGACAAGAUCCAUCGUCGGGUGCAUCAGGUUGAAAAAACUUUCAGUUCUUACUGUGAUUGAUAGAUCUAUGUUCAACAUCAUAGUGCUUAGACGUAAAACUACUUCAUCUGGAUCCCAGUUUGUGAACUGGCCAUGAAGAUAGUGAAAUGGCUUUUGCUACAAUUUAAAUUUACUUAUGGCUUUUCGUUUC